AUUGAACGCUGGCGGCAGGCCUAACACAUGCAAGUCGAGCGGAUCGCCGGACGGGUGAGUAAUGCCUAUGAAUCUGCCAGGUCGUGGUGGAUAACGUUCGGAAAUGGGCGCUAAUACUGCAUCCUCUUAGAUGCGCCUAUGUCGGAUUAGCGAGUUGGUGGGGUAAAGGCCUACCAAGGCGACGAUCCGUAACUGGUCUGAGAGGAUGAUCAGUCACACUGGAACUGAGACACGGUCCAGACUCCUACGGGAGGCAGCAGUGGGGAAUAUUGGACAAUGGGGACAACCCUGAUCCAGCCAUGCCGCGUGUAUGAAGAAGGCCGUCGGGUUGUAAAGUACUUUCAGCGGGGAGGCGUUACCCGCAGAAGAAGCACCGGCUAACUCCGUGCCAGCAGCCGCGGUAAUAC
rnacentral:rRNA from 1 species